AUUGAAGACUUCUUGAAGGCUUUGAAGGAUCUCUAGAUCAAAGUUGAAACAAUAGGCAUGAAAAAUCCUCUCUUUGAAUGCUCUUGAAUCUCUUUUACAAUCUCUCGUGUAGAUUUUGGAUCCUCUUUUCUUUUUCUCUCGAAUAUCUCGUUGAUCACUUCGUGUAUUUUGGAUCCUCUCAAUUGUAUCUUGUAUUUUCACCUUUUGAAACAUUUUAUAGCAUUAAGAAACAAGAGAAAAUAUAUUAGGCAGAAAAAGAGCCGUUAGAGCAUUUUUAGGAAGCAUAAAAGGCAAUUAAAACGGGCAAAAAACUAGCCGUUGCGGAUGAUUUCCGUCGCAGGGGUCGACUCAUGAGUCGACUUAUGCUUCAGGAGUCGACUCAUGAGUCGACUUCUGUUGCAACAGCCAGAAAAUGAGUUUCUGCAACUUUUGGCCUAA
rnacentral:lncRNA from 1 species